AACGAACGCUGGCGGCAGGCUUAACACAUGCAAGUCGAACGAGAUCUUCGGAUCUAGUGGCAGACGGGUGAGGAACACGUGGGAACAUCCCUUUCAGUUCGGAAUAACGUUGGGAAACUAACGCUAAUACCGGAUACGUCCUUCGGGAGAAAGAUUUAUCGCUGAAAGAUUGGCCCGCGUCUGAUUAGCUAGUUGGUGAGGUAAUGGCUCACCAAGGCUACGAUCAGUAGCUGAUCUGCGUGGAUGAUCAGCCAAAUUGGGACUGAGUCACGGCCCAAACUCCUACGGGAGGCAGCAGUGGGGAAUAUUGGACAAUGGGCGCAAGCCUGAUCCAGCCAUGCCGCGUGAGUGAUGAAGGCCUUCGGGUUGUAAAGCUCUUUUAUCCGGGAAGAUAAUGACUGUACCGGAAGAAUAAGCCCCGGCAAACUUCGUGCCAGCCGCCGCCAGUAA
rnacentral:rRNA from 1 species